rnacentral:rRNA from 1 species
AGCUCAAAUUUGAAAUCUGGCGUCCUCAGGGCGUCCGAGUUGUAAUCUAUAGAGGCGUUUUCCGUGCCGGACCGUGUCCAAGUUCCUUGGAACAGGAUAUCAAAGAGGGUGACAAUCCCGUACUUGACACGACGACCGGUGCUCUGUGAUACGUCUUCUACGAGUCGAGUUGUUUGGGAAUGCAGCUCAAAAUGGGUGGUGAGUUCCAUCUAAAGCUAAAUAUUGGCGAGAGACCGAUAGCGAACAAGUACCGUGAGGGAAAGAUGAAAAGCACUUUGGAAAGAGAGUUAAACAGUACGUGAAAUUGUUGAAAGGGAAACGAUUGAAGUCAGUCGUGACCGAGAGGCUCAGCCGGUUCUGCCGGUGUAUUCCCCUCGGUCGGGUCAACAUCAGUUUUGUCCGGUGGAUAAGGGCGGUAGGAAGGUGGCACCCUCGGGUGUGUUAUAGCCUGCCGUCGCAUACAUCGGGUGAGACUGAGGAACGCAGCUCGCCUUUAUGGCCGGGGUUCGCCCACGUCCGAGCUUAGGAUGUUGACAUAAUGGCUUUAAACGACCCGUCUUGAAAC